rfam:Capsicum annuum cultivar Zunla-1 chromosome 4, whole genome shotgun sequence
GACUGAUAAUGGUGGGGCAAUUUUUUAGCAUACCCUUAAAUCUCUCCCAAGCUUGGUAGAGAUUCUCUACUUUAUUCUAUUUGAAACUCAGGAUCUCACUCUUCAAGUG